rnacentral:rRNA from 1 species
GAUGAACGCUGGCGGCGUGCCUAAUACAUGCAAGUCGAGCGAACGGACGAGAAGCUUGCUUCUCUGAUGUUAGCGGCGGACGGGUGAGUAACACGUGGAUAACCUACCUAUAAGACUGGGAUAACUUCGGGAAACCGGAGCUAAUACCGGAUGAUAUUUUGAACCGCAUGGUUCAAAAGUGAAAGACGGUCUUGCUGUCACUUAUAGAUGGAUCCGCGCUGCAUUAGCUAGUUGGUAAGGUAACGGCUUACCAAGGCAACGAUGCAUAGCCGACCUGGGAGGGUGAUCGGCCACACUGGAACUGAGACACGGUCCAGACUCCUACGGGAGGCAGCAGUAGGGAAUCUUCCGCAAUGGGCGAAAGCCUGACGGAGCAACGCCGCGUGAGUGAUGAAGGUCUUCGGAUCGUAAAACUCUGUUAUUAGGGGAGAACAUAUGUGUAAGUAACUGUGCACAUCUUGACGGUACCUAAUCAGAAAGCCACGGCUAACUACGUG